rnacentral:lncRNA from 1 species
UGUGGCUCCCCAGUGGAGGCGGAGAGAGAGAGAGAGGCAGAGACACAGGCAGAGGGAGAAGCAGGCUCCACGCAGGGAGCCCGAUGCGGGACUCGAUCCCGGGUCUCCAGGAUCAGGCCCUCGGCUGAAGGCGGGCGCGAAACUGCUGAGCCACCCAGGGAUCCCCCGCAUUUCGUUUUUUACACAGCUUCCGAUCCACUCAUUCAAAGUGCACAAUCAAAUGUCUUCCAGUAUAUUCAGAGUUGUGCAUCCAUACUCAUAAUCGAUUUUAGAACAUAUUGUCCCCAAAAGAAACCUCUCCUUUAGCUGUCACUCUCAAUCUCCCAUGCCCCGGCCCCCUGGGCAACCCCUCAUCUACAUGCGGUCUUUAUGGAUUUUGCCCAUUCUGCACAUUUCCUGGAAAUGCAAUCAUACAAUAUAUGGUCUUUUGUGAACGGCUUCUUACACUUAGAGUAAUGUUUUCAAGGUUUGGCCAUUUUGUAGCCUGUGUCAGUACUUCAUUGCUUUUUAUUACGAAAUUAUAUUCCAUUGUAUGAAUGUACCAUGUUUUAUUUAUCCAUCAUGAGUUGAUGGACCUUAGGACUAAUCUUAACUCCUCAGCUCUUACCAAGGUUCUGGACCUGACCCCGCCUUCCUGGCCAGCAUCCUGUUUGUUCUGCUCCCCCUCGACUCCCCCUCCCUGGGCUCCUGUGGGCUUGGCAGUCCCUUCCUCCCUUAGGCCUUCCUGCAAACUGCUCUCUGCCUUCACCACCCAUUCACUAAAUCCUGCUCCUCUUUCAGACCUCAGAUUUAAUGUCCUUUUCUCAAGAAACCUCUGACCCUUGACUGGGUGAGGGACUCCCUGAGCUAGUCUCUGGUGCCUGAAUUCUACUUUGUAGUAAUUAGUUAUAACCAAAUAAUCAGUUUUGAUUUUCUGUUAAUGUAUAAAUUACAUGGGGUCAGGGGCUUCUGUUUGCUUCUGUUACCCCUAGCACCUUGUUGGUCCUUAAUGACUAUUUUAAUACAUGUGCACCCAUGCCUACCAUGUAUCAGGCACUGUACUGUACUAGGGACACAGCCAUGAACAAAAAAACUCGCAGCUUUAUGGAGUUUACAUUCCAGUGGGAGAAUAUAGACAAAUCUAUGUCGGGUGGUGAAGAGUAUCAUGAAGAAAGAUAGAAGGGACUGCAGAGUGGUCAGAGAAGUCCUCUUAGGGACAGAGGGUCUUGCAGAUGGCCCCACUCCCAGGAGCAGAGCUGGUCCAGAGGCCACUGCAGCUCUACCGGUACCUGCUGCGCUGUUGCCAGCAGCUGCCAACCAAGGGCAUCCAGGAGCAUUACAAGCAUGCUGUCAGGCAGAGUUUCCGGGUUCAUUCAGAUGAAGACAAUCCUGAGAGAAUCCAGCAGAUUAUUAAAAGAGCCAUAGAAGAUGCAGACUGGAUCAUGAACAAAAUUCCUUUUACAUUAAAGAAGAAAGGGGGUCCCAGUGCCAGCUAGAGAUCUGACUGUCUGGUGCCUGCCCUGCUACCUCUGAGAAGCCCCUGCAGGAAGCAGCUAACACCUGCAAGAACAUGGUUCCUGGGACUUUCUGGGUCCUCCCUCCCCCACUGGCUUCCCUCACCCACUUCUAAUGAUCUCUGUCUUACAGUAUAAAAAACAAAACUGAGGCUCUAGGGCCUAGAGAACGAGUUGCCCUGAAGACAUUGACGUUGAGAGACCUCGCUUAUAGAACUACUCAGCAGCGGCACUUAUGGAAUAUGCAUUGGCCUGUUGGCCUAGAGCAGGAAAUCAGGAGUAGGAGAAGCUGACUAUUGCUCACCUGGCUCUUCUUGCCAUGUUUGUUUUCCCCAGCAUCCCUUACAUUUGCUUUUCUGGCCAGUUGCCAUGUGGACUUGGGGAUACUGUGUUUUGUCACUUUGCUCUGAAGGUGAUGCAUUUAUUCUGGAUGUUGUCCUUUGAGACCCAGAGUGGGCAUCCCCUCAGGCUGUGCUGAGAGGACACGGUGUGGGUUUUCGAACCAGUCGGGUCUGGAUUUGAAUGUCAGUUCUGCAACUUUUCAAGGGUCUUGCCUUUGAGCUCAGAUUCCUCCUUUGUGAAGAUUAAAUAUGAUGAUGUUGAAGAGCUUCAUGCAGGAUGUGAUACAUGGUAAUGCAAGUAAAUGUCCCCCCUGGGAGCGCCAUCCUCCACCACUCCUUCCUCUGGACUACGGUGCUCCAUGCAUCUCUCUGGCAUGUUCCUCAUCGGGCCCAGGUUGUUUGUGAUCUUGUCCUGCCCUGCUUGGUGUCCCUGAACUUCAGGGUCCCACCAUGCCCAGCAGUCCAUCAAGCAGCCACUCCUCUAGGCUUGGUGGGAAGUCCUUCCUUGAAGUCCAGUCCUUGCCUUUAUGGAGUUUCUUGUGACCAUGAAUUGGUGAAAUGCAGGCUGCAUGGAACAAGGAAGAAAGGCAGAGCAGCUACAGCAGACGCUAAAGCACACAGACCUCUUGUGAACCUGCAGUCUGUUCUGCUGGCCCUUCCCUUCUUUGCCACCAUCUUGGGAGGAAAAAUGGAAGUCGGGAGCAAGCAAGGAGGGAGGUGGGGAGCAAGCGUUCCUGUGAGUUAUGGUGAGCCUGAAACCCUGUGGAGAGACAGACUGGAUCGUGUCCCAAUUCCAUAGGAGUUGCUUUUGGGAACUUACCUGGCCUACUUCAGCCUUGGUUUCCCCAUCUCCUGUGGAGUGGUGCCCACACCUACCUGCCAGGGUGGGAGUGAGGACUAUGGAGCUCUCAUGCGUGCGAGGGGCUUCAUACAGAAGCUGGCUCAGGGAGCUGCCUGCAUGGCUGUGGCCAGUUACCACAGCGAGGAAGCCCUGCUUUGCAGAUGGGGAGAUGGAAGCACAGGCAGUUUGAGCCCCUUUUCAGCAAAGGAGCAGCCAAAAGCAGAAAAGUCGCACUAGGACUUGAAUAUCUCCAAGGACUCUCAGCCAGAGGGAUGAGCCAGCAUGUUUGUGACCUGCCAUGAAUUAUAUGACUUAAAGUUACUCAGAGACAUCUGUAUGCACUUCACUGAUCAGCAAGUAAUGAAGUAAAUAUAUCAGUUUU